AUCACGGGGAAUUGAGAAAGCCCAGGAAAGCUAUUGCAUUAGCUCCAACAUUUAGAAUCACUGACACGAGCAGAGAGAAGAAAGGAGUUUCACACGAGAUUGGAAGAGAAACAUCAAGCUUUAGAAGCUGAGAGAAUUUAAUGGGAAGCAAGGACAAAGGAAGAAUGUGAAGCAGCAGUAAAGCAG